AGGAGGGACAACAACAGUGGCAGCGGCCAGCUCUGGAGCCCUGGAUUCAGCUCCUGCGGUAACAACGGAGCUCUCAGUCUCCAAGGGCCUGGAUGCUCUGGGGGCAG
rnacentral:pre_miRNA from 1 species